rnacentral:rRNA from 1 species
UACGUAGGGUGCAAGCGUUAAUCGGAAUUACUGGGCGUAAAGCGGGCGCAGGCGGCUUUGCAAGACAGAUGUGAAAUCCCCGGGCUUAACCUGGGAACUGCAUUUGUGACUGCAUGGCUGGAGUGCGGCAGAGGGGGAUGGAAUUCCGCGUGUAGCAGUGAAAUGCGUAGAGAUCGGGAAGAACAUCGGUGGCGAAGGCGGCCAGCUGGGCCAUUGCUGACGCUGAUGCGCGACAGCGUGGGGAGCAAACAGG